ensembl:lncRNA
CAGGACUGAGUAUGACUCAGGGCCCAGCUGUCACCAAGCAACCCAGUUGCCUAGCAAUGGCGGUUUCCCAGUAACGUUGUCUCCUAGCAAUGGGAUAUUUUCCCGGGCCCUGGCUGGAGCCUGGUGGUUAUUUUUAGCUCAGCUGCAAAUCAAUCUGCAGCUGCAUUUUUGGCUCCUGAAGAAGAUGCAAGGUGUAUGUGGGGCGGCAGGAGGGAGGCAGUGGUCUUCUUGUCAAGGGAGGAAACUUGCCAUGUGUCCUAAGGGUCUUUUCCAACGAGUCAGCUCUUCACAUCAGAUGGCCAAAGUAUUGGAAUUUCAGCUUCAGCAUCAGCCCUUCCAGUGAAUAUUCAGGACUGAUCUCCUUUAGGAUGGACUAGUUGGAUCUGCUUGCAGUCCAAGGGACUCUCAAGAGUCUUCUCCAACACUACAGUUCAAAAGCAUCAAUUCUUCUGCGCUCAGCUUUCUUUAUAGUCCAACUCUUACAUCCAUGCAUGACUACUGGAAAAACCAUAGCCUUGACUAGACAGACCUUUGAUGGCAAACUAAUGUCUCCGCUUUUUAAUUCCAAGGAGCAAGCGUCGUUUAAUUUCAUGGCUGCAGGCACCAUCUACAGUGAUUUUGGAGCCCAAGAAAAUAAAGUCUGUCACUGUUUCCAUUAUUUCCCCAUCUAUUUGCCAUGAAGUGAUGGGACCAGAUGCCAUGAUCUUCGUUUUCUGAAUGUUGAGCUUUAAGCCAACUUUUUCACUCUCCUCUUUCACUUUCACCAAGAGACCCUUUAUUUCUUCUUCACUUUCUGCCAUAAGGGUGGUAUCAUCUGUGUAUCUGAGGUUAUUGAUAUUUCUCCCGGCAAUCUUGAUUCCACCUUGUGCUUCAUCCAGCCUGGUAUUUCCCAUGAUGUACUCUGCAUAUAAGUUAAAUAAGCAGGGUGACAAUAUACAGCCUUGGCAUGCUCCUUUCCCAAUUUGGAACCAGUCUGUUCCAUGUCCAGUUCUGUUGUUUCUUGACCUGUAUACAAGAUUUCUCAGGAGGCAGGUAAGAUGGUCUGGUGUUCCCAUCUCUUUAAGAAUUUUCCAGUUUGUUG